rnacentral:rRNA from 1 species
GACAGAGGCCUCAAGCGUUAGGCGGAAUCACUGGGCUUAAAGCGUGUGUAGGCGGAUCGUUAAGUGUCUUGUGAAAUCCCACGGCUCACCCGUGGAACGGCUGGGCAUACUGGCGAUCUUGGGCCAACUAGGGGCAACUGGAACAAGCGGUGGAGCGGUGAAAUGCGUAGAUAUCGCUUGGAACGCCGAAGGUGAAAACAGGUUGCUGGGGUUGUGCCGACGCUGAGACA